GUGCACGUCCAAGCAGUUAGGCUGAUAAGUAGGCAAAUCCACUUAUCGUGCAGGCUGAGCUGUGAUGGGGAAGCUCCUUAAGGAGCGAAGUCUUUGAUUCCCCGCUGCCAAGAAAAGCUUCUAGCGAGAUAAAAGGUGCCUGUACCGCAAACCGACACAGGUAGGCGAGGAGAGAAUCCUAAGGUGUGCGAGAGAACUCUGGUUAAGGAACUCGGCAAAAUGACCCCGUAACUUCGGGAGAAGGGGUGCUUUCUUAACGGAAAGCCGCAGUGAAUAGGCCCAAGCGACUGUUUAGCAAAAACACAGCUCUCUGCGAAGCCGUAAGGCGAAGUAUAGGGGGUGACACCUGCCCGGUGCUGGAAGGUUAAGGAGAGGGGUUAGCGUAAGCGAAGCUCUGAACUGAAGCCCCAGUAAACGGCGGCCGUAACUAUAACGGUCCUAAGGUAGCGAAAUUCCUUGUCGGGUAAGUUCCGACCCGCACGAAAGGUGUAACGAUUUGGGCACUGUCUCAACCAGAGACUCGGUGAAAUUAUAGUACCUGUGAAGAUGCAGGUUACCCGCGACAGGACGGAAAGACCCCGUGGAGCUUUACUGUAGCCUGAUAUUGAAUUUUGGUACAGUUUGUACAGGAUAGGCGGGAGCCUUUGAAACCGGAGCGCUAGCUUCGGUGGAGGCGCUGGUGGGAUACCGCCCUGACUGUAUUGAAAUUCUAACCUACGGGUCUUAUCGACCCGGGAGACAGUGUCAGGUGGGCAGUUUGACUGGGGCGGUCGCCUCCUAAAGUGUAACGGAGGCGCCCAAAGGUUCCCUCAGAAUGGUUGGAAAUCAUUCGUAGAGUGCAAAGGCAUAAGGGAGCUUGACUGCGAGACCUACAAGUCGAGCAGGGACGAAAGUCGGGCUUAGUGAUCCGGUGGUUCCGCAUGGAAGGGCCAUCGCUCAACGGAUAAAAGCUACCCCGGGGAUAACAGGCUUAUCUCCCCCAAGAGUCCACAUCGACGGGGAGGUUUGGCACCUCGAUGUCGGCUCAUCGCAUCCUGGGGCUGUAGUCGGUCCCAAGGGUUGGGCUGUUCGCCCAUUAAAGCGGUACGCGAGCUGGGUUCAGAACGUCGUGAGACAGUUCGGUCCCUAUCCGUCGUGGGCGUAGGAAAUUUGAGAGGAGCUGUCCUUAGUACGAGAGGACCGGGAUGGACGCACCGCUGGUGUACCAGUUGUUCUGCCAAGGGCAUAGCUGGGUAGCUAUGUGCGGAAGGGAUAAGUGCUGAAAGCAUCUAAGCAUGAAGCCCCCCUCAAGAUGAGAUUUCCCAUAGCGUAAGCUAGUAAGAUCCCUGAAAGAUGAUCAGGUUGAUAGGUUCGAGGUGGAAGCAUGGUGACAUGUGGAGCUGACGAAUACUAAUAGAUCGAGGACUUAACCAU
rnacentral:rRNA from 1 species